CUGAACUACAAUAGAUCUGUUUGGAGCAGGUUGUGAGCAGUGGUUUCUGUUGGAGACCGUGAGUCCCUUUGGGGGGGACUUUUGGCUUUUUCACUUUGUAGACCUAU